GGUUUAGAUCCUACCUCUACUUCAUUUUCCAUGAAUGUUGGAUUUUGUCUUUAAUCUAUUUGGUUUAGUUCUUCCAAAACUAAUAAAAGCCUCAGACAGAAAUUUGGAACAUAUCUCUGAGCGAGUUCUUCUCUUCCCUGACUUUCCAGGUUUUAUGGUAGCAAAAAAUUUCAUAUUAGUUAUACCUCUAGACAUUAACCUCCUAUCUCUUGAGUAACUAAAGGCUUGGUUCUGUGUCUUGACUCCUAACAUUUGCUUCCUUAGCCCGGGAAAAUAAUUUCAUUGUAUAUUCUAUGUACAGUUUUUGCCCAGUUUGGUCUUCCUGAAUUCUUCCUUUUUCACUUUAGGGGGAUGAGCAUCAAUGCUGCUGUGAUUAUACAAUACCUUUCUCAUUUGUUCUCUCUCUCUAAGAAUUAGUUUGCAAAUUUGUCCAUAAAAUUUUUUUUCUUACUCAAAUCUAAUUCAAAAUUGUUUGGUUUUUUCCCAGACCUUUUGUCUUGACUGUCCUCUAACCUUUCUUUCACCAUGUCCAUGAUCAUCCAAGCCAAUAACUUUUCUUUGUUUUUCUCUUUAUGAGAUACUGGUCUUAAAGUAGUUGCACCUCCUUUUUAAAUUCUUGCCUUAUCUCUCCACUACUUCUUUGCCCUCUUUUUUUCCAGGCUUCCCCUUCUUUUCCAACCUCCUAAAACAUCAUUUAAAACUCUUUCUUUCUAGUUUUCCCUAGAAUCAGUUUUUAUAGUAUAAUUAUUACUCGAUAUGAAGGACAUUAAACAAACAAACAAAAAAAAGAGUUGCUUUAUGAUCUGUAUGUGACAGCGGGUUCUGAAUUGAUAAAAUACUUCAGCAUUGUGCUUUACUGCCACUAAAGGGAUUUGUGCUGUGCACAGAACUCUCUUCCUUUUAAUUCUUAUCCAAAACUGAAAACAAAAUCCUUUAAGAAAAGAGGAAACUGUAUUAGUUGGGUUUUUUGUUUGUUUUCAUGGAAUGCAAACUAUUAAUCUGAAUGUUUUUGCUGUCAUCAAAACCUUUGCAUUAUCUUUUUAAAGCUACUCUCUCUAAAUUCACAUUCUUUUGCUGAAUAGUCCUUGGAGUUUUCAAGAAUAAACUCAUGAGAAGAAAAGGGGAAUAUGGUGAGGCAGAAGACCAGAGAAUAUAGCUAUUUGUGAAACAUUAAUUCUUCUUAUCUGAGCAAGCCUCUCCAUCUCCAUUCUGUACCCCAUCAUGUUACUGGUUAAACAAGGAAAAGAUUCAUGGAUAGUUAAAAGUUUAGCUAUAAUUUUUGGGAAACUAGUUUGGAAACUAUGUGAUUCUUUUUCUUCUAAAUUAACAACACUUUGUUACAUCAAAAAAAUUUCCUAUAUGAUUACUUUUCACUUGACUCAUCUAUUUUCUUAAUAAUGGCAUCCAGAGGUUUGGCUUUCCCAAGUAUUUGUUGGCUGACAGCAUUUUUUAACUAUUCUCUAUAACUGUGCUAAGCAGAAAAUAGUGAUGAACAUUUGAAAAAAUUAAAUUGUCUGUCAAGAAAACUUUGAUGAUCUGUUCUUUUGCUGAGUAACAGAGUUUUGAAACAGUCAGCAGAGGGGGCCCUUGUUCUCUCAAGAAGCUGCCUCACAGCACCUGAUCCAGGUUUACUCCUUACUUAUGAAGAUCAUCUCUAGUGGGAGAAAAGAUAUGGUGGGUGGAACAGGAAAGGACGUGGCAAAGAAAUAGUUAAAUUUUGUUUAACUUUGAAAGGCAUCUGCUACUCAAUGCUUCUUAUCUUUCUAAUUAGCUAAAGACGGACUGAAUGUGUUGAAGAAGAGAAGUAUUCUUGAAUGUACAUCUCUCCCUGGUUUAUAUAUCUUUAGUGGGGGGGAGGGGAAGGGUAUUAUGAGAGGGAAUAGCUUAACUAACAGGAUUGAUGUCUCAAAUCACAUUUUACAUAGGACUUUAGAAACCAAUCUGUUUACAUUUGAAAAUCAGUAGGAAAUAAUUUACAUCCAGAACCUGACUUCUUUUCUGCUUGAUCAUUUGAAUCAUUCUUGAUUUAGGUCAAGAAUUUAAAUAAUGGAAUAAGAUUUCAGUGUUUGCUGUUAAGGUUAUAUCCUUGAAUUAUAAGCAGCCUCUGAAAAUCUGAUCAAAUGCCUUUCAAUCUUCCACAUUUAGUAUGCAUGUACAUUUUAUCCAUCUUUUUGCAGGAGCUAUAUAAUUACUAAUAAAUCUGUCAUUAUUCAGCAUUACUGUAUUUGGCCCCAGGGAAGCAAAGCAGCAGGAUCUUUAAAAAGUCUCAAUUGGGAUAAAAAGAAAAAAAAACAGCUCUUGUAUUAUGUAACUUUGUUUCUACUCCUCCCUGCUUACUUCAGUGUUUACUUUUAACUUUGGGUUCUGAAACUUUAUUUUCUCUUAUAAGUACAAUAAAUCACUGUCCUAGUUCCCUUGAUAUAGGCAGACUGGUAGGGAAUGCUUUGAUGCCAGGAGUCAGAGAUAUUUGGGGAGCAUAAUUGAGUAGGUUAGCCUGACUAGCCUGUUUAAAUAAUAAUGCCCAAUGAUGAGAGCCAGUCCUUUUACAUCUGGCAUAGAAGCUUUUUUCUUAAGAGUUCUCAUAUACCGAAUGCCAAAGCAGGAAGGCAAUCUUGUUUUCUCUUUCCUGCCCCUUUCUUUAACCUCUCCUCUCUACAUUAUCCCUUACUUGCAAUAAUUGGGAAGAAUAAAUCACUAACUCUCAGGAGUGAGGAAGAGGGGAGAACAUUCUUGUCAUUUUAAAUUUUAUAAAAAGGAGACUUGAAAUCAAGUUUAGUCCCAUAGUAUGGGAUAGGUUGUCAUACCUGCCCAUCUCAUCUCCAAAUGGAUAACUGUUACGCCAGUCAUUAUCUCCUGGGUCAGACUCAAGGCCCUGAGCCCUGGGAUGGUAUCUUUAGCAGGCACUCCUUCAGUUUGUAGUUCAACAGGUCCUCUGUGCUCUGUUAGGUUAGAGGCAGACAAUCCAAAUAUUUAUCUUUGCCAUGACCAGGAGCAACAGAUCUUCCUGAACAUAAACAGGCAAGUAAGCACCUAAAGAGAGAUACUUAAGUAUCAGCCAAUGGAACAAGUGGCAUUGGUACCUGGAAGACUAAAUCUUACUCUAGUUCUUUUUUACCCAGCCUAAUCAGACCCCUAAGAAAGCCCAUCCAGCACAGAACAUUGAUUCUAUCCACUUGUAACCCAGCGCUUGACAGAAGAGCACUGAAGUUGUGAUCAGCUUAGUAGCAGAUGCUUAGGUAUAACUUGUUUGUCUUUUUUUCCCCUUGACAGUACAUAAAUCACUUGCACUUUUCUUUAUUUCUUAAGGAAAAAAAAAAAUCCAGUUUGCUUGCCAGGAAACGUUGAGCGUUAGGUUUACAAAGCUUGUUGUUGAAUGUUAAAAACUUGUCCAAAGGAGUUUGGCAAAAUAGAAGCUGCUUGGUCCCUGUUCUUGCCUUCUGGGUCAUAAGGAUUAUUAAGGCUAUGUAGCUUGGAUGCUUAUGACAAGUCCAGAACAGGGCAGCAUCCCUCUCCUACCUCUCUGUGGAGAUGCAAUUGAAGGUCAAAUCAGACUUGAUGUAGGGCAGGUACCCCUCAUGCUGCAGCAAGUUCAAAGGAGUCUUUGAGUUGGGGAGGUGACAGACAAAUAGGACAGGAUUUCUGGUCUGGAAAGAUCCCCGGGAGAGGCACUUUUGCCCUCAGGAAUUGCAGUGAAGUAGAACUGAGCUCUCCUUUAGCAUUUCCAAACUAGCAUAUGCCAUCUAGUUUCCCUGGGGCACUUUUUUCCAGUAUCCUGUCAGACCCCUCAUUGUAUUGAUUCUUUUCCCUUUGUGUUGACCAUACCAUAAUUAUUAUUAUUUUUUUUUUUAGCAAUUGAGAAUGCACUUUUAUUUCAACUCAAUCAUGAUUUUAAACAUAAAAAUUAUAGAUUGUUAAAAACUACUUUUUGUGUAUUUUUAACCACUCAAUGUAGCAUUGUAUAUUUUAUUCUUGUGAGACUCUGGUACAAGGUGUGCCGCUUCACAAUAUUUCCGAGAUGCUGGGCCUUUGGAUGUGUACGGUAACCCACCUAAUGCUAAUGUUCAAAGUAAAAGAAGUAGCCAUA
ensembl:lncRNA